GACGAACGCUGGCGGCGUGCCUAAUACAUGCAAGUAGAACGCUGAAGAGAGGAGCUUCCUCUUCUUGGAUGAGUUGCGAACGGGUGAGUAACGCGUAGGUAACCUGCCUUGUAGCGGGGGAUAACUAUUGGAAACGAUAGCUAAUACCGCAUAACAAUGGAUGACACAUGUCACUUAUUUGAAAGGGGCAAUUGCUCCACUACAAGAUGGACCUGCGUUGUAUUAGCUAGUAGGUGAGGUAAUGGCUCACCUAGGCGACGAUACAUAGCCGACCUGAGAGGGUGAACGGCCACACUGGGACUGAGACACGGCCCAGACUCCUACGGGAGGCAGCAGUAGGGAAUCUUCGGCAAUGGGGGCAACCCUGACCGAACAACGCCGCGUGAGUGAAGAAGGUUUUCGGAUCGUAAAGCUCUGUUGUAAGUGAAGAACGGGUGUGAGAGUGGAAAGUUCACACUGUGACGGUAGCUUACCAGAAAGGGACGGCUAACUACGUG
rnacentral:rRNA from 1 species